rnacentral:rRNA from 1 species
GAAUUACAUGCCCUUCAGUGGGGAAUAGCCCAGGGAAACUUGGAUUAAUACCCCAUGGUAUCGCAAGAUUAAAGGUGGCCGCAAGGCUGUCGCUGAAGGAUUGGUUCGCGCCCUAUCAGCUUGUUGGUGAGGUAACGGCUCACCAAGGCUACGACGGGUACCUGGUCUGAGAGGACGAUCAGGCACACUGGAACUGAGACACGGUCCAGACACCUACGGGUGGCAGCAGUCGAGAAUAAUUCACAAUGGGGGCAACCCUGAUGGUGCAACGCCGCGUGGAGGAUGACGGUCUUCGGAUUGUAAACUCCUGUCAUCUGGGAGUAAGACCUGGCUGUGAAUAGCAGACAGGGUUGAUAGUACCAGAAGAGGAAGGGACGGCUAACUUCGUGCCAGCAGCCGCGGUAAUACGAAGGUCCCGAGCGUUGUUCGGAAUCACUGGGCGUAAAGGGAGUGUAGGCGGCGUGGUAAGUCAGAUGCGAAAUCCCGGGGCUCAACCCCGGAACUGCAUCCGAUACUGCCGUGCUAGAGGAUUGGAGAGGUAGCUGGAAUUCUUGGU